rnacentral:rRNA from 1 species
GUGGGGAAUAUUGGGCAAUGGGCGCAAGCCUGACCCAGCAACGCCGCGUGAAGGAAGAAGGCUUUCGGGUUGUAAACUUCUUUUAAGAGGGAAGAGCAGAAGACGGUACCUCUAGAAUAAGCCACGGCUAACUACGUGCCAGCAGCCGCGGUAAUACGUAGGUGGCAAGCGUUGUCCGGAUUUACUGGGUGUAAAGGGCGUGCAGCCGGGUCUGCAAGUCAGAUGUGAAAUCCAUGGGCUCAACCCAUGAACUGCAUUUGAAACUGUAGAUCUUGAGUGUCGGAGGGGCAAUCGGAAUUCCUAGUGUAGCGGUGAAAUGCGUAGAUAUUAGGAGGAACACCAGUGGCGAAGGCGGAUUGCUGGACGAUAACUGACGGUGAGGCGCGAAAGUGUGGGGAGCAAACAGGAUUAGAUACCCGAGUAGUCC